rnacentral:rRNA from 1 species
AUUGAACGCUGGCGGCAGGCUUAACACAUGCAAGUCGAGCGGAGUUGUGGUGCUUGCACCAUAACUUAGCGGCGGACGGGUGAGUAAUGCUUAGGAAGCUGCCGAUUAGUGGGGACAACAUCUCGAAAGGGAUGCUAAUACCGCAUACGUCCUACGGGAGAAAGCAGGGGACCUUUGGGCCUGGCGCUAAUAGAUGAGCCUAAGUCGGAUUAGCUAGUUGGGGGGGUAAAGGCCUACCAAGGCGACGAUCUGUAGCGGGUCUGAGAGGAUGAUCCGACACACUGGGACUGAGACACGGCCCAGACUCCUACGGGAGGCAGCAGUGGGGAAUAUUGGACAAUGGGGGGAACCCUGAUCCAGCCAUGCCGCGUGUGUGAAGAAGGCCUUUUGGUUGUAAAGCACUUUAAGCGAGGAGGAGGCUACUGGUAUUAAUACUACCGGAUAGUGGACGUUACUCGCAGAAUAAGCACCGGCUAACUCUGUGCCAGCCGCCGCAGUAAGAC